UUUGGAUGUGUCUGGAGUCUUGGAAGCUUGACUACCCUACGUUCUCCUGCAAAUGGACCUUGAGAGCUUGUUUGGAGGUUCUAGCAGGGGAGCAUAGCUACUCGUAUACCCUUGACCGAAGAACCGUCCUCCUCUAUCAGGGAAUGUCGUCCUCUUCGACCAAGCGCGCAGCUUCGGGAGGGACGCACAUGGAGCGGCCAUUUCCAAUAACACAACCUAUUGCACCAUAUUGACUGACAAACCCAGCAUGACGAGAGAAACCUGAGACUCACUCUUGAUUUGCACUGACAUCAGUCAAGAGUCUUAAUUUUGUGUUCAUGACUUGCUUUGGAAUUGCUUUUGAGCCCUGCGCUCAUUUCCAGCUCUUCCUAGAAGCCAGUUAUUUUACAAGAAUGUAAUUGCAGGGUGAAAUGGUUGAUCAAAUAUAAGAGCUAUACAAACUUCUGGGCUCUCAGAGGAAUUGAAAUUCUCAAAAGCGCUAUUCAAGUUACAUUUACUUCUGUCUAAAUUAUAGUUUGGCUGCUUCCAGGCUGCUUCCAAUGAUCACUCUUGAAGUUUUGACUGUAAGAGGUAGUCCUUUCUGCUUUCUGCAGCCCAUCUUUUUUCAUUGGACCAGCUGGAGCUCAUCUUUUUGAGCCAAACAUCUUUUAAUGGUUUAUGACGGGAUCACUGGUCAUUCUUAUAUAUUCUUUUUGAAUCUGAGCACUACCAUGGACUCUGGCAGCCCUUUUUCUCAGGACUGGGCUAGAGAAUGCUCUUUUUCUUACGGGCUGAUGUGCAUAUAGAGGUGAUGUAGGGAGGAUGGGAAAAAUACCAAAGGAUUUGCACUGGGAUACAGGAAUGGCUGUUUUGUUUUUGCCUUUCCUGGUUUCAGCUGGACAGCCAAGACCAGGAUGUUUAUGUCUCAUUGUUGGAAGGACACAUGCAUGUUGAAAGAAAUGUCUGUGUGUGUGUGUGUGUGUGUGUGUGUGUGUGUGUGUUGGGGCGUAGGGUUGGAAAGAGUUU